CCCCCCCCGGCAGCGCUGAGCCGGCCGGCCCUCGGCCGCCGCUUAGACGGGAGGGCUCUUUGAUUUUUGUAAUUGAAGAUAUGAAUUUCUUCCGCGCCACCGCAAGGAAAGCGAGAUGAUGGCUGCGAUGAUCGUGAUUUAAAUUUCGUAUUCGGGGCCGCCAAACAGCUCCGAAAGGACCCUUCGCCCACGAUAAAUCACGAGGGGGGUCUGAGGAACGGGCAGCGACUUUUUAUUGAAAAUGAACAGAAGGAAAGUUUAAGUUUGAUGUAAAUAGAAGUUGAAUAAACAUGCGAGAGCCACUGGGGAGCCGGAGACUUAGGCUCUGGGCAUUUAAUGUCACUAUUGUUUUAAAUCAUAUUAAAAUGGAAUCAAGUAAUUAACAUUAAUAAAUAAAUCAAUAUCGUGCAAUAAAUGAGAUAUACAGUCUACAUUAAUAUAAAGGUUUUGCUCUCAGAGCCCCAUAUUUUUCCGAACGAGGGAAGGAAGAAAAAAAAAAACCCCGACCAAUGGCUCCAUGCAGAUGUAAAUUACUGUUUGUAAUAAAGCAUAGGUGGACAUUACAGAUUUCUCCUCCAGCAAAUGUCAGGGCUAAAACCCGGAGGUUACCAGACGUGCCGGUGGGCUUUCAUUUCACCGCCUUAUCUCCCUAAACCUUAUUACUCGUGAUAUGAUGUUUUUCUCGAGCGCGCUGACGAUUCCCAUCGUUGCAAUUUGCCGUGUUUGUGUCUCAUUAUGGGGGGGGAUGGGAUGGGAGAGGCUGGAUAUUUCGCAGAUGCCUUCAGUAACAAAGCGCAACUGUCACGCUGCCCAGAGCUCCGUGUGCCAUGUUUUCAUAGAAAGAGCCGGCGACUCGGCCGGGGGGCUCGGAUUCCCCGGAUGAUUUUGCCCUCGGCUGGGGGGGCAGGAACGCCCUGAUGGCACUACGCCUUUUCUUCAACGCGACACCUUAUAAAAUAAACAAAAUUCCUCGCCGCCCGUCGUUUCGGAGGUGCUAUUUCUGCCGUGGGGAGAGCGCGGCAGCACCCACUCUACCGCAGCCUCAGCCUCCCCCUGUCGUAUUGCCGUAUUUCCGCGCAGGGGCACAGCCUUAUCCUUACAGGACUUUGGCGUGCAGACCGGUCGGCGAUCCGGCCGCGGCCCGGCACGUUUGACUUUCGGCAGACCGCUGCCGAAUCUGAGGUUCAAUCAGCUAAGAGGCAAAUGCCCUUCUCGCCCUCCUGAAGGGACAAGCUCAAAGGCGUUCGGAAAUAGCUCCCAGCCUUUUCUUUCCGAAGGAAUAAAGCAGAGGAACGAGGAGGGGAGGGGGGGGGGGGGGAAAGGAUACAAGAGAUGAUAGACUCUGACAGAACCAUCACGUUAACGAGCUGAAUUAAAAAAAAAAAGAAAAUAAAAGAAAAUAAAAAAAAGAAAAGAAAAGGAACAAAGUGGCGUUCCCGUAUUCAAGGUUGUGGUGGGGUUUGGGGUAUUUUUGGUUGGGUUUUUUUUUGUUUUGCUUUUUGUUUUUUUUUUUUUUCCCCUUAAUUAACAACACACCCGGCUCCAAUCAGCCGUUCACAUCCUCUGAGAGCGGCCGCGCUAAUUGCGAGGGGCUGAAGCUUCACGUGGGAGCCCGAAGGCUCUGGGGUCGGUGCGGGCUCUCCCAAGAAGAGCCGAAUGCCAGCAAAACAAACGGGAAAACUUUGGUGAACGUUUCCCUCUCGAAAUAGGUAUCUCCGCCGAGAGCAGAGGGGUUCCUCCGGGCUCUGGGUUGGGCUCAAAGGGGCUCUCGUGGCGCCAGGGACCCGGGGACGUGAGGCUGCACAAUGCCGUUUUAUCGCAGACGGGAAGGCUAUUUCUAGGAAACUGUUAACAAUGAACUUCUAAAAAAAAAAAAAAAAAGCCAACCCAAACAACAACAACGAAAAGCCACCCCCAAACCCAGCGGACGGAGUGCCAACAAACGCUUUCACGGGACGUGGGGCUGUGGCAGCGCGGAACGCGGCCGAAGCGGCAGAAAUAGAUUUUGGCGAAGGCAGCGGCUGAGCAGAGAGGAGAGGAGCCCUUUUUCCGGGGAGGUUCUGAGCAAAAGUGCGCGUUGGAGGACAAAAAGAGCACGGAACAGCAAAACGGAACGCUCUCGGUCGCUGGAGAAAGCCCAGGGAAUUCAUAAGCUCCGCUUUAAUUUUCUAAUCUCUGGUUUCAUUUUAAUAGAUCUCCGUAGUGUUGUUAAGGAGAGGGAUUGCAAUCAGCAGAGCCUUGGCAAGGUGAUGUUCGGAUAUUAAAAACGUCUUCUUUCGCUUUAGUCUCUGCCUGUCUAUUAAAAAAAUAAGCGCUCUCAGCACCUCGCGUUAAAGCCGCGUUUAAAUAAAACGCGUUUCUGAAAUUACGCUUUUCUGUAUCGAAAGGUUUAUUUAAGAAAAGCCUCGGUAAAAAACGAAAGAUAAACAGUGGCAGCGCCUGGGAUUUAUAUUACUUUUGUUCUAUCCGCGUCGAGGCCGUCCUGAAGGGAGUAAAUAGGUUUUCGUUCCGGGGAACGAAUUCUGAGUAUCGGUGGGGCUUUCUUUUUUUUCCCCUUAAAAUUAUGGGAUUUUUUUAAAGCUCGGAUGCGUUAUAAAAGAUUACGAGCACCAAAAUUUCUUUUAAAUUGGCAUAUUUCUCGGGCACGUCACGGUUACGGGUUAUUUGUUUAAUAAAUCUUUUUGAUGCUUUAUUUUCUCAUUUGGAAGGCCCUGAAAUCUUCUCGUUACUUAUAUAUUAGAUGUUUUAUUAGCGGUGGAAUUAUUAUUAGGAGGAAAUAUACCGGAGCACGAGGACGGCGCUGCGCAGCAGCGAUGCGCCCUCGUGUGGCUCCGGGUGGAGGAGCAGCCGCCUCCCUCCCGGCCGCUCCAUUCGCUGUCGGUCACGGCUUUCUCCCUUUCUUUUUUUAAAUAGAAACCUAAAGCUGCUAUAAUUGAGCAUUUAUGCAAGAUUAAUGCCGGGCUGGUUAGGUUUCCGCGGCCCUCUUUUGCGGUGUGGGAGCUUUUUAAAGGGAUCCGAAUCCCUUAAGACGGCCGCUUAGAGCACCGCGGGGAACGGAAAGCGAACGCCCUGCUCUCGCGCUGCGGAUUGGGACUCGGGAGAGACGCGAGAACGCUGCUGGAAGGUCGGGAGGAAUGAAAUCCGCGCCGCUCCGAGCGCUCCUAAUUAAUGGGCUUUGUGGGGAACGCGCAGCCGGGGGGAAGCUGCCGAAAUCGCACCCUUCUCGCUCCGUUGCCGAGCGUUUCUCGCCGCCUCCGCGUUUUACUCGGAGCGACAAAAGCAGCGUUCGUUUCUUUAGGAUUAUUUCCUUUCCAAUAAAAGAGAAGAAGGUGGUCGGGGAAUAGCCGGGCCCGGCAGGGGAAGGGUCGGGACGCGGGG
rnacentral:lncRNA from 1 species